AUGAAUAGUAAAUAUGGCGCUAUUACUUUGUUGCCCCUAAUUUUAAUGGUUUGCCAUAUAUACCCUUUGCAUGUGAAAAUCUGUCCAGGCUUUUCUUCUCCUUUUCGUCCUUUCUUUUUCCUCGCUCUCCAUUGAAGGCUUGCUGCGUGCUCUGAGCUUAAUCUCAUCCAUUAAAGCAGCUUCUUCAGUUUACAUCGUUAAAAUGGAGCAGGCGAGCAGCAGCAGUGAAACCUCAGGCGGUCGUAAUGCGGAAGGAAUUUGAUGUUUCUUCACUUCCGAGCUCUCUCUGAUCCUCCAUUGAAGCAACUUCUGAGCUUUCCUCUCCAUUGAACAGUGGAAUUAAUGGUUUGCUUAAUGAAUUUUGUGGGUAUUUGAAAAUUUUGAGGAGGAAUUUGAGUUAGCUUUAUUCAAAAACAAGAAGAAAGAGAAUCAUUAAAUGGUAGUUUCCAGUGCCAGAACUUUCUUCUUUAGAAUUCCUUGACCUUCAACAUUUACAAAUUUGUAUGCGUUUCUUUAUAUACCAGAGCGGUUUCAGGUUUUCGAUUGAAUUUGAUUUCAAAUGGAUCUUACUUAGCAACUUGCUCGUAAGUGGUUCACCAUGAAACGCCAGCAUGCCCUAAUUGUCAUGGCUAACAGCCUAUACUACAGAAAAUUCAAGCUAUAUUGCAGGGUUCCACCUACAACUGAUCAGAAAUCACUUGAAAGGAAUAUUGCCGAGGAUUGGGCUCCUUCUUCUUGCAACAUGACAUUUGAGGUUGUUAACUCCAGGGAAUGGUCGUUGAUUUCACGAUACAGGGCAUCUAAGGACUCAGUCUCCUAAGGUCAAAAUGAUUGACAAUUUUGUGUCUAAGAUGAAGGUAUCAUGAGAUACGUUUGCGGAAGAUGUUACUUGUGUAAAUGUUGUCUUAAGCCUAAGCAGUUCUAAAAUGGGUCAUUAUAGGCCCUGCUUGAUUUCUAUGUCAGUUAUGGGAAAAGAAAGCCUGGAACGUAUUAUCAUAUUUAGGUACGUGUUUUUGCCUAAGGUUUGCCCAUGACUAUCAUCCUUCGAUAAUUUUCAACUUUCAUAACCAAACAUAAUUUUCAAGAAAUUUGGGGUUUAUAUUUUGAAAGGUAUGAUCUAUGAAUUUGUGUCCAUAACUUUGAAAUGCUGAUGUUUUGACCAAAUGGUUUUGCUUUUAAGCUCAUUAUAAAUCUUGGGUUUAUUUCCUAUUUGUAAUUUAUUUUUUGUUCAAAUUUUUUAGUAAUGGAUAAAUGUUAUAAAUGUUGUAUCUCAUAGAUUUGUGCAUUCACAAAUGUGAGAUUUAAGCUAUAAUUUUCUGUCGUUGGUGAGCAUACUUUCGCUAUCGUGAGUAUCUUUUGGGAUUGAAGAACAUGAAUUUCAAUGAAAAAGUAUGUUAUCAAACUAUUUUUGUGAUUUUAAAAGUGGGUUGUUUUUUUAACCCAAGAAAAUGAUUAGUUUAAAGAUUAAUGCUUAUUCAUACUCAGUUAAUAAGAAUUAGGGAUUAUUUAAUUUGGAGAGAUUUCUAUUUAUCUCGAGGCCACUUGUGUUGUCAAUUUUUUUUUAUUUCCUUUGUUUGAGAGUGUCUAUUAUUCCUUGAAUUAGAUAAUUUAUUUUUAUUUUUUCUCAAUUUUCAAAUUUUAUUUUAUAUUAUAUAGUAAUCUCAAUAAGAACUUGUAUUAUAUACGAAAUACUUAUCCUUAAAUUAGGAGUAUUAUAGGCAUACAUAGUAGUAUUAUUAAAAAAAAAAAAAAAAAAAAAAAAAAAAAAAAAAAAAAGUAUUGUUUUGAUUCCACUAUUGUUUUGCCUUCCAUUGCUUUGAGAUGAGACUCCAGAAGAUGAUUAUAGGCAUACAUAGGAAUCCAGACCAUUCGCAAAGUACUUUCAAUGCACUUAUAUAUUCUUAUUUUCACAUUUUCCCUUUUACAUACAUAUUUUCCAUGCAAUUAUCCUUAUUUAUCAAAAUAUUUAUCUUUUUCCAACACAACUAUUCCUAUUUUAUCU